AGAGAGAGACAUGCGCGCAUAUCAAUAAGCGGAGGAAAAGAAACUAACAAGGAUUCCCUUAGUAACGGCGAGUGAAGCGGGAAGAGCUCAAAUUUGAAAUCUUCAGGGUUCUACCUUGACGAAUUGUAGUUUAUAGAAGUGUUUUCUGUUAGUGGAGUGGCAAAAGUUCUUUGGAAUAGGACAUCAUAGAGGGUGAGAAUCCCGUAUUUGGUCAUUCCUCCUAGCGUUGUGAUACACUUUCAACGAGUCGGAUUGUUUGGGAAUGCAGUCCAAAAUGGGUGGUAAAUUUCAUCUAAAGCUAAAUAUUGGCGAGAGACCGAUAGCGAACAAGUACCGUGAGGGAAAGAUGAAAAGAACUUUGAAAAGAGAGUUAAACAGUACGUGAAAUUGUCAAAAGGGAAGCGUUUGACACCAGUGUUGUUUUUCCGAAAAUCAAUUACGAAUGCUUUAGUUUUUGAGGAGUUAUGACUUCAUCGGCUUGCUCCUUUCUUUACGAAACUUUCUUAAUGCACUUUUCGGUUAACAAGUCAACAUCAAUUUCUUUUGUUGUAAAAGGGUAUGAGGAAGGUGGCUUUCUUUUCGGAGAAAGUGUUUAUAGCCUUGUGCCUCUGCAAUCGGAGAGAUUGAGGUCUGCAGCGUAGAUCCUUCGGGGUUAGAUACGUUUGUGCUAAGUUAAAGCUUUUCAUAGACAACUUGUUGACUAUGUUUAGUCUUGUAGCUUACUCGCUGACGCUAUUUUACCUACGCUUAGGAUGUUGAUAGUCACAGCGUGUAC
rnacentral:rRNA from 1 species